UACGUAGGGGGCAAGCGCUGUCCGGAUUUAUUGGGCGUAAAAGGCUUGUAGGUGGCCACGCCAAGUCGGAUGUGAAAUCUCCCGGCUCAACUGGGAGGGGUCAUUCGAUACUGGCGGGCUCGAGGCCGGUAGGGGGAAGCGGAAUUCCCGGUGUAGUGGUGGAAUGCGUAGAUAUCGGGAGGAACACCAGUGGCGAAGGCGGCUUCCUGGACCGGUUCUGACACUGAGGCGCGAAAGCGUGGGGAGCGAACAGG
rnacentral:rRNA from 1 species